UCCCACCCACACCUCUUUCCCCAGAGGGAGGACCUGUCGUUGGGACGUUUGCACAGGCUUCAUUCCUCUGGACGGGGUUGGACCAGGCCAGGAACCCCAUUUGGCCUCUCCUUUUCCUCCCUAACUGCCAUGUGUCACUUCCCGCUAACUCGGGCACAGCCAGUUUGACUCUGGCUGGGAGAGAGAAGGUUUCCCCAACCUUGCCUUUUGCCUCAGCUCCAGGCCAGAUGCUCUGAUCUCCCCCUCUGUCCUCAGAACCACGGUUUCCACAGCAGGCUUAGAUGGGAAACCUGGAGCUGAGAAGACAAAUCCAGCAGGAGCCAGAGAGGCCUCUGCUUCGCUGGUCUGGAGAAAGCAACUGCUCGAUUUUGGGUCUGCCCCUCAGACGGCAGAGCUCCGGGUCACCAGCCUAAACCGCUUAAUGCACAUCACGCCACGGUCUACUUGGAAAUGGCUGAAGGCACUUAAAUGGAACAUCCAACCUUUGUCCUCAGCCCCCAGACCACAGAUGCUGUGGCAAGUCCUUUCCAAUGCAACGUGAACACAACAUGGCUCAGGUUCCAAUGCUCUUGCUGUCCUGCCCCAUGGCCAUGUGUUAUCUGUAAUUUUGAAGCGGGUUGGUGCAUGCUAAGACCCAAGAAGACUACCAAUAGCCCUUACCACCAUUAUUCCCUCAGAGCCCUUGAGGGAAAAAAGCCCCCAGGAAAGAUUUUCUUUCUUUAUUUGAGAGAGAGAGAGAUAGAGAUAGUGAGAGAGAGCACAAGUGGGGAGAAGAGGGAGAAGCAGGCUCCCCGCAGAGCAAGGAGCCUGAUGCGGGGCUCAAUCCCAGGACCCCGGGAUCAAGACCUGAGCCGAAGGCAGACACUUAACUGACUGAGCCACCCAGGCGCCUGGAAGACUUUGUUUUAAAAGAAAAGAAUGGCAGAAGCGGCGCUGUCCAGAGUCUCUUGGCAGAGACCACCCAGCCUAAAGCACCAUCUGGGCAUUCAAGCUCCCCAAAUAACUGCUGGGGAAAUGUGGGCACGUCUUAUCCCAACACAGCACGACAAACAGAACCCAUUAAGCAAAGCAAAUUUUGCUUGUGGCCUGGAUACAGACACAGGUGCAACGAAAGCUUCAAGUCUUUUUAAGCAAUUCCAUUUUCUCAAAAGACUCUCCAUGAUCCUUCCCAAGUCACUCACCUUUGUUGGUUUCUUCUUCGAAGCAACACAUCGAAUUUCCUGUUUUACGCCUGGCAACAACCCCCCGCAUUGAGGUUACCUAACACUUCACGUAGUUCUUAGGGCCUUUGAGCAGCAUGACCCUCCCCCUUAACCCUCACCCCCAUAUCUAGCUCAGUAUAACUUCAUGUAACACUCAAUAAAUAUUUGUUGAAUGACUGAAUGAAGUUGAAUCUGGUAUUUCCCAACUCCGAUAAAAUAGAAGAAAUCAAUGUUAGCUUUUCUAGCUAGCUAGAGAAACAGGAGAGCUAUAUAAAAUGAUCUGAAGGAAAAAUUGCAUCCAACAUUUUACUUCCAGGUCUCUGAAGGAGGCUGUUAUAACAAUGGACUAUAAAUACAGGGUGAAUGCUAUAUCUGUAAAGAAGCAAUGCUAACAG